rnacentral:lncRNA from 1 species
AAUGGGGGUGCAGGAGGGAUGUGGGGGGGCCAAGGGGGGCCCAAGGGGGGCCGGGGGUCUUCAGGGGGCGCCCUAAGGUACUUAAGGGGGUCCUAUAGGGGUCCUGGGGUCCUUAUGGGGGUCCUGGGGUCUUCAGGGGGCACCCCAAGGUCCAUAUGGGGGUCCCAAUGGGGGCCGGGGGUCUUCAAGGGGCACCCUAAGGUUCAUGUGGGGGUCCUGGGGUCUUCAGGGGGCACCCUAAGGCCCAUAUGGGGGUCCCAAGGGGGGCCGGGGGUCUUCAGGGGACACCCUGAGGUCCAUUAUGGGGUCCUGGGGUCCUCAGGAUGCACCCCAAGGUCCAUAUGGGGGUCCCAAGGGGGUCCCAAGGGGGUCCUGGGGUCUUCAAGGGGCACCCCAAGGUCCAUAUGGGGGUCCCAAGGGGGUCCCAAGGGGGUCUUGGGGUCCUUAUGGGGGUUCCGGGGCCUUUAUAGGGCACCCUAAGGUCCAUAUGGUGGUCCCAAAGGGGUCCCAAGGGGGUUCUGGGGUCCUUAUGGGGGUCCUGGGGUCCUCAUGGGGCACCCCAAGGUCCAUAAUGGGGGUCCCAAAGGGGUCCCAAGGGGGUCCUGGGGUCCUUAUGGGGGUUCCAGGGUGUUCAGGGGGCACCCUAAGGUCCAUAAUGGGGGUCCCAAGGGGGUCCUGGGGUCUUCAGGGGGCACCCUAAGGUUCAUAAUGGGGGUCCCAAGGGGGCCCUGGGGUCCUUAUGGGGGUCCUGGGGUCUUCAAGGGGCACCCUAAGGUACUUAAGGGGGUCCCAAGGGGGUCCUGGGGUCUUCAGGGGACACCCUAAGGUCCAUAUGGGGGUCCCAAGGGGGUCCCAAGGGGGUCCUGGGGUCCUUAUGGGGGUCCUGGGGUCUUCAGGGGGUACCCUAAGGUCCAUAUGGGGGUCCCAAGGGGGUCCUGGGGUCCUUAUGGGGCCCCCCGGGGAUCCUUAUGGGGUCCCAAGGGGGUCCGGGGGUCUCUAGGGGCCCCCUGAGGUCCCUCUGGGGGUCCCGGGGGGUCCCUUUGGUGCCCCCCACCCAUGGGUGCCCCCGCGCUGUCCCGGCUGCUGCAUUAAAGGACUUUGGGAACCGACCCGGCUGC